AUUGAACGCUGGCGGCAUGCCUUACACAUGCAAGUCGAACGGCAGCACGGGGGCAACCCUGGUGGCGAGUGGCGAACGGGUGAGUAAUGCAUCGGAACGUGCCCAGUAGUGGGGGGAUAACUAGUCGAAAGAUUAGCUAAUACCGCAUACGACCUAUGGGUGAAAGCGGGGGAUUCGCAAGAACCUCGCGCUAUCGGAGCGGCCGAUGUCUGAUUAGCUAGUGGCGGGGUAAGGGCCACCAAGGCUUCGAUCAGUAGCUGGUCUGAGAGGACGGACCAGCCACACUGGGACUGAGACACGGCCCAGACUCCUACCGGGAGGCAGCGAGUGGGGGAAUUUUUGGACAAGUGGGUC
rnacentral:rRNA from 1 species